rnacentral:rRNA from 1 species
AGCAGCCGCGGUAAUUCCAGCUCCAAUAGCGUAUAUUAAAGUUGUUGCAGUUAAAAAGCUCGUAGUUGAAUUUCGGGGUUAGUAGGUUGGUCAUGCCUCUGGUAUGUACUGGUCUCACUGAUUCCUCCUUCCUGAUGAUCCGUAAUGCCAUUUAUUUGGUGUUGCGGGGAAUUUGGACUGUUACUUUGAAAAAAUUAGAGUGUUUAAAGCAAGCUAACGCUUGAAUACAUUAGCAUGGAAUAAUGAAAUAGGACGUUCGAUCCCAUUUUGUUGGUUUCUAGGAUCGACGUAAUGAUUAAUAGGGAUAGUUGGGGGCAUUAGUAUUCAAUUGUCAGAGGUGAAAUUCUUGGAUUUAUUGAAGACUAACUACUGCGAAAGCAUUUGCCUAAGGAUGUUUUCAUUAAUCAAGAACGAAAGUUAGGGGAUCGAAGACGAUCAGAUACCGUCGUAGUCUUAACCAUAAACUAUGACCGACUAGGGAUCGGAUGAUGUUAAUUUUUAAUGACUCAUUCGGCGUCCG